CCUUUGCAGAAAAAGCACCAGAAAUCCUAAACACAAAGGAUCAUGCAAUAACUUCCACAUCUACUAGUAGGACACCAUCUCAACGUAGUGUGCCUUAAUUUAAAUGACGUUCGUGCGUGCAAUAAAGAUAUAUGUUAAACCCAGUACGUGUCUUCUCUGUAGAUACAAGCAAAGUCUCUUCACAAGGAAUUCCUACAACUGGCACAAUAAGAGAAAGACAUUCUCAACGAA